AAGUCAGCCCUCAUCACCAUGUACAGUAUCUGAUUUUGCGGCAAGAGGUUAAUAGGGUUCUCCAGAUGGUAGAUCCAGUAGCUAAAACUUGAAAACCCUUCAAUCUAUGUGACUAUUAAAGACUAUACAGAUUAGGUUCAUUAAUGGGGUAUCUCUGGAUUUUUACAUAUUUGACUGUGCUGCUGGGGCUUUAAGCAUACAAAAUGAGUGUCGUCUCAGGUUUUCCCAGGCCAAGACAUUACAUCACUAGUCAGGUGUUGAAAGGGAGCCUGUCUGCUUCAAUGGGUGAAGUGACCGCUGGGUGGGGAUAUGGUGAAUAAUCUCUUAAAGUCUUUCCUGGAUUCCUCCCUAGCCAACGUCUGACGUCAUCACGCGGUGAUUCCUCGUUGAUAGCCAGUGUCAACUACAUUUGUCUAAUUAGACAGCUGAGGAAGACAAAUUCUGCAGCACCUUGUUUCAUUACUAUUACCAUUCCCUGUUCCUAGGAUGGAAUACACUUGAGAACUAUUUGUAUCAACUGGUGAGGGCUGGGUUUUUCUACAUUAUAUCGGACUUGCUUUGCCUCCUGCACCACUACACCAAAUGCAUCUGACAUUACCCUCUACUUUGCUAUCUGGCAUGUAAAUAGUAAUACACUAUAUGCCAAAAUACUCAUUAUUUCAAAAGAACUAAAGAUGUUCUUGACCUUUUGUGCAGGUUGAAAAUAUCAGGAUCCUAGAAUACCAAGUUUCUAUGCCAGAGACACUUAGAUCAUAAUAAAAUAUCUAUAAAGACCCUCUAUAAAGACAUAUUUAGUAUGAUUUUUAUCAUAAUAGCAUCAUCCCUGUAUGGCACAUUAUUGUUACCAGCCAUUUGUCAAUGCAUUUUUAAUUAUUAUAAUUUUUUUUUUUACAAUAAAGUGGAAUUGAGAUUUUUUUCAUUUGCUGAUCAAAAAUACCUAUUAUCUUGAUAUAUAAUCCAGUGAAACUGUGCAUCAGAUUAUCCUUAAACAGUUUAUCAAUGUCCCUGUGAAAUGGCUCUAAAUUCUUUACAAAAUAUCUAGGCAGCGGUCUGUUAAAAAGAGUCAGCAGUUCUGAGCGUAAUUUGUUUAAGCCAAGCCAAAUAAGAGACAAAUUAUCUGUACAGAACUAAUGCGAAAUGCAUUUCUUUCCAUUGUUUACUGACUUUUUUUCUGAUCCCUUGAAAGUUCUGGACAAAUAAAAGGUAGAAAAAAAAAACUAUAAAAAGUUUGAGAUCUUAAAAACAUGUCUACUGUUUAUGAAUCUAUUGUCGGAUCACUGUAGCAUCCUAUACUGUCAAGGGGAUAAUGCGAUUUUAGGCCUACAAAGGAUUCUCAUUUCAAAGUCUUUCCAGUACAUUAGCUCCCCUAAUGAUAUCAACGCAAGGACUUAAAAAUACUGCAUUAGUGAACGAUUCAGCACUGUAAACCGAUCAAUCUUGUUAGACAUCAAGACUUCAUCUGGUAGUCAGGGAUAAAGAGUAAACAGGUGGGAGUUUGUAUCUCAUUAAAUAUAAUGGAAAAUAAGAGCCACAUUUAACUCAGCUCAUUCACUGUUCUGACUUAAAGAAGGAUUUU